rnacentral:rRNA from 1 species
CCUACGGGUAGCAGCAGUGAGGAAUAUUGGUCAAUGGCCGGAAGGCUGAACCAGCCAUGCCGCGUGAAGGUCAGUGCCCUAUGGGCGUUAAACUUCUUUUGUGCGGGAGCAAUCAUGGUCACGUGUGGCCAGACGAGAGUACCGUACGAAUAAGCCUCUGCUAACUCCGUUCCAGCCGCCGCGGUAAUACGGGGGAUGCAAGCGUUAUCCGGGUUUAUUGGGUUUAAAGGGUGCGUAGGCUGUGAGGUAAGUCAGCGGUGAAAUGCCCCCGCUCAACGGGGUGAAGUGCCAUUGAUACUGCCUUGCUGGAAUGCGGAUGCCGUGGGAGGAAUGUGUGGUGUAGCGGUGAAAUGCAUAGAUAUCACACAGAACACCGAUUGCGAAGGCAUCUAACGAAUCCGCGAUUGACGCUGAUGCACGAAAGCGUGGGUAUCAAACAGGAUUAGAGACCCGGGUAGUC